AGUGAACGCUGGCGGUAGGCCUAACACAUGCAAGUCGAACGGCAGCACAGUAAGAGCUUGCUCUUACGGGUGGCGAGUGGCGGACGGGUGAGGAAUACAUCGGAAUCUACUUUUUCGUGGGGGAUAACGUAGGGAAACUUACGCUAAUACCGCAUACGACCUACGGGUGAAAGCAGGGGAUCUUCGGACCUUGCGCGAUUGAAUGAGCCGAUGUCGGAUUAGCUAGUUGGCGGGGUAAAGGCCCACCAAGGCGACGAUCCGUAGCUGGUCUGAGAGGAUGAUCAGCCACACUGGAACUGAGACACGGUCCAGACUCCUACGGGAGGCAGCAGUGGGGAAUAUUGGACAAUGGGCGCAAGCCUGAUCCAGCCAUACCGCGUGGGUGAGGAAGGCCUUCGGGUUGUAAAGCCCUUUUGUUGGGAAAGAAAAGCAGCAGGUUAAUACCCCGCUGUUCUGACGGUACCCAAAGAAUAAGCACCGGCUAACCUCGUG
rnacentral:rRNA from 1 species